rnacentral:rRNA from 1 species
AACGUAGGUGGCGAGCGUUGUCCGGAUUUACUGGGCGUAAAGGGAGCGUAGGCGGACUUUUAAGUGAGAUGUGAAAUACCCGGGCUCAACUUGGGUGCUGCAUUUCAAACUGGAAGUCUAGAGUGCAGGAGAGGAGAAUGGAAUUCCUAGUGUAGCGGUGAAAUGCGUAGAGAUUAGGAAGAACACCAGUGGCGAAGGCGAUUCUCUGGACUGUAACUGACGCUGAGGCUCGAAAGCGUGGGGAGCAAACAGGAUUAGAUACCCGCGUAGU